GAUGAACGCUGGCGGCGUGCCUAAUACAUGCCAGUCGAGCGAACAGAUGAGGAGCUUGCUCCUCUGACGUUAGCGGCGGACGGGUGAGUAACACGUGGAUAACCUACCUAUAAGACUGGGAUAACUUCGGGAAACCGGAGCUAAUACCGGAUAAUAUAUUGAACCGCAUGGUUCAAUAGUGUAAGUCGGUUUUGCUGUCACUUAUAGAUGGAUCCGCGCCUCAUUAGCUUGUUGGUAAGGUAACGGCUUACCAAGGCAACGAUGCGUAGCCGACAGGAGCGGGGGAUGGGCGACACAGGAAGUGAGACGCGGUACAGAGUCCUACGGGAGGAAGCAGUAGGGAAUGUACCGCAAUGGGCGAAAGACUGACGGAGCAACGCAGGGUGAGUGAUGAAGGUCUUCGGAUCGUAAAACUCUGUUAGUAGGGAAGAACAAAUGUGUAAGUAACGAAGAACGGCAUGACGGUACCUAAUAAGAAAGCAACGGCUAACUACGUG
rnacentral:rRNA from 1 species